UAGAAAUUUAUUAUUUCAGGAGCUUAUAUCUCUCGAAGGGUCGCGAGUAGGGGUAUGGUUCCUUUGACUUUAUUGUUAGUUCACGGGUCUACGGUUUGCGGGGGUCGCCAACUCUUCAUUCGGAGAGUAAAUCUUACCAUUCGGACUUUAACAGCGCUGUAGAGCAUAUUGAUAGGAACAAAAAAGUCAAAGGAACCGCGCCUCAUGGAAGUUUGUAAAGAACGCCCACUAGGGGGCGUCCCGAGCUACUAGUUUUCUAUAAGCCAUUGAAAAGCGCAAAAAUCGCCAAAAAAAUCUGUAUUUUCUUUUUCUUAAUUUUCUUCUUACGGCACUGCACACGCUCGUAGAAAAAAACUACUGGGUCUAGAAAGUUCAUAUUUUAAAGUUAAGUCAUUUUGGUUAUCGAUGAGACGCUGUCGAAACUUCGGAUCGAUAGGUCAAAGUUUCGGAAGAUCAAACAGAAAUUUAAUAACACAAACAAGAAGAAGACGGUCGACUCUCCUAUUCUCUCUUCGCAGGAAUUACAUAUCGAGCCAGAAUUGUCCUCGUCGUCUUCGUCCCUUCGGCUUAAAGAUUUUGAAAGGCUAAAAGUGCCGGAUUUCUGGAUAAGGUGCCCUUUAAAAAUGAAUCUAAUUUAAUUGUGUACGCAGAAAAUGAGCUAGUGUUAAAAAAACAAUAGUGCUACUCUAAACGCAUCUAAGUUAGUGACUUUUGCACAGUACGAAGAUGUAUUUUCGUGCAAAAUAUAUAUCGAGGGUGUUCAAUUUGAAAAUAUUUCAACAAUUUCUUUGCAGCGAGCUGAGGAUAUUAUUGAAAAUGCAUAUAAGUUGAAGAUAUGCAAUGGUGCUACAACAGAGACAGAACUAGAAUCAAACAUUUUGUUUGGCUUUAAAAACACGAAAAAUUUUGUAGAUUUUUAGUAAAUAUGAAUAAACGUUAUUAUUAAUUAAUAACAAGAGUAGAUUACUCUUGUACUUUAAAUAAUACUUGUUCGUACAGUACUCGACAGUUGUAAUGAAAAAAACAGACAAUAAAGUGUAGGCUAUUUGAUUUAAAAAGAAUCUUAAUUAGCAUUAAUCGAAUUCCUUCACGUAUAAAUGUUAAUAAAAUAGUACUAUUGUAAAUAAUAGAUUAUAUCAAAUAAUAAAGUAAUGAUGUAAAUUGAUUGCUCCAGAUAUGAUUUAUUAUCGAUCUAAAUUCUUUUACUUAACUACAGCGCAUUACUCUGAUUAAAAAUCCCACAUAAAACCAAUAUAAACGUAGAAUGAUACAGCCAGUGUAGCGCAACGAUUGACAGCAGCGCCUCUUACCGUAACCUCCAAUAAAAAGAAAGCAAAUAAGCUCGAUUCCGACAUAAUAUUUUCUAGCCAUUUUAUUGUACACUUACUUAUAUUUAAAAUGAUUAUUUGUAGUGUCGAUUCGAAGAAGAAAAUCUCUUUGACGAUUAUAUUAGAAAGGAAAAAAAGAAGCACGAUUUCCUCAGAAACUGAAGACGAUUUCUCGGGUAACAUUUCGCGAAAUAUCGAAUGGAUCUAGAGUUUGGCUUGUGGAGUGUGGUAAAGAGUAUUGAAAGUGCUAUAAGUCUCUUCGUGGACUGAAGUUUCUUGACUUAAUGUCAACGAACGUAAGUAGAUCUGUCAUUUUUUCUCCAGCAUUUUUCAAAUCACAAUUUUCGAGAAAAGGUUAGAAAUUAUUGAAGAAUUUGAAAUUAUAAAAACAAUCAAAGCUGUAAGUACGAAAAUGAAAGGAAAGGGUCUUCGCAAAACACGAUUUCGAACCCGGCUUUAAUUUUGUGGCGUGACGUGUCCAAGAAAGAAUUUCUAAAAUUAUUUCAAUUGUUAUAUAAAAUAAUGUAUGACGUAAUUCUCGUAUCUGAUUUCAUUCCGAACUUUGUUAUUUUCAGAUUCACUUUCAACCAAUAAAGAACAUCUUUGUAAUAGAGAAUGGUUUCCGGGGACACACGAAAACUGCUGAAGGAUGUGUUCGAAUUCUGUUGUUAACGAAACACUAAAAUUGAAGCCAGUGUUAGGAAACUACACAAGAAUAUAACAACAAAGAGACCAUCUUUCCCGCAAAUGAAGAAAAAGAGAAAAAUUAAGAAGAUAUUUUAAAUUAUUUUCGAAUAUGUUAUAAUAUUUCAUAUAAAUUGUUUUGAAAAAAUGUAUAAAUUACGUUAAUUUGUGAUUGUAUUGUAUUUGUACGUGUUUGCUAAUAUUUGUGAAUACCGGCGUAAGGAGUUUAUGUGUGAUCUAAAGUGUGAUAUGAUGUCGUCCAGUUAAUUGUAAGGUUUAAAUUUUAGUUUAAAGAAAUUUGAUAGAAAGAAAAGUCUUUUUCUAUCUGUACUCAAAACUUUAACAGUUCUUUAUAAUUAGAACGCUUAAAUUUAGAUAUUUGAUUGACAAUAAAUUGAAGGGAGUUUUGAUUAUUAGGUUUUAAAAUUUCUCGUAUUUUACAGGUUUAAACCUCCAGAAGAGAAAGAAUGGGAAGUAUCGAUGUGACAGUUGCGAGAAAGAAUUCGCUUCGAAGUAUAAUUUAAAAUGUCAUCAAAGGAUUCACACCGGAGAAGGGCUGUUGU